rnacentral:lncRNA from 1 species
GUCAUCAUUGAUAAUACUAGAAAGCAGUUAGAGUAUACUAGAGACAAUUAGGAUUACAGUCAUCCUUAAGCAAUACAGGAAUUUAGGAACUUGAAGAAAUAGAGUUCUUCUAAAAAGGAUAGGAAUUUAAAACUUUAAACAUAACAAAUAAAGUUCUUCAAAAUAUCUAAGACUAAGAAAAGUAAAGUCUAAUGAACUAGGCAGCGACAAUUCCAUCUCCAUUAAGAGUUGUUUCCAAGGUGUCCUCCACGCCAUCUGCUCUCAUCCAAGUGGAUGAUCAUCGCAAGAAAAACAGAAACAAACAUGGCACAAACACAAGCAAAUGCAAAGGUGAGCUAAUUAUACAAAAAGAAAACAUGCAUCACAUCAAGUAUAUAACAUACAAUAAAUAACUUAAGUCAAACAGUUUAAGAAACACAACCUAAGCAUGUUAUUUUCUAGACUUGACUCGUCCGGACUUUAAAAUGAUAGUCGGNNNNNNNNNNNNNNNNNNNNNNNNNNNNNNNNNNNNNNNNNNNNNNNNNNNNNNNNNNNNNNNNNNNNNNNNNNNNNNNNAAGACUAAGGACCUCCUGCUACUUCUCACCACAUGGUUCAACCUCUCUAAGUGAGUUUGAUUGACCAUUGAAGCGUCAGAAUGACUCCCAAGGCUGAGCCCCUACUUUCAUUUUAAAACACUAAGAAUCUCACCAAGAGAUUUCACAUUUACCACCAUCAACACAUUAGAAAUCAAGUUUUGUGCCUUCCCAAUUCACAUAUUUUUCAACCACAAUUCACAAUCAAUAACACACAGUUAAUCAUCAGGUUUAAAUACAAUUUCCAACACAUUAUAUACAUAGUUUCAAUAAUAUGUCUUUCUCCUCAAUGACAAAAUUUAUAGCACAAUCUCGUUACCUCUCAUAAGUGCUAUCAAAACAAAAUUUAUCCGUCAGUUUCAAAGUUUCACAACUCAAAGUAAUUAUUCAAUUAAGAAAAAUCAACUUAACAACCCAUUAACAAAACACCAACAACCUAUGCUGCUAACUUCCAAACGCUCACAUCAUCAUUAAAUAUUCUCAAUAUCCAAAACUUUCAUCAAAACUUAUCAUCAGCUUUACCUAUCUUUAUCAAAAUCAUCAACAACUAAAAGUAAUAAUGCUUAANGAAUAUNANGGAAAUAACAUGAUCACAAGUUAUUGUUUCGAUGUCAUCUUUAAUCUUAACAUCAACACCUCACAAAUCUUUCUCAAUCUUCCAAUUAAAAUGAAACCCACAUUGCGAUCGAAUUUACCAAUCACCCUUUCCCAUUCAAUUCAUAUACAUAAUCUUCAUUGUUUCCGAUCCUAAGUGUAAAUCCAAUUUUCUUCUAUCUUUAUAUCAAAGAAAAAAAAAAUAACGUGAACAAUUUAAUUAAAAGCAUUCAAUACUUCCUACAAGGUAUCCAUUACCUCAUGAUAAAAUUUACUUAAUAACAUUAUUAUAUUUUACAUAUCACCUGUUAUAAUAAUACUUUACAAACAUUCAUUAUAUGAUAUAAAGAAAUAUAUUAUUAUUAUAUAACAUACAAAGGUGAGUAAAAGAUAUAUAUUAAUAUAUUCUAUACAAAGAUCACAUAAUGGAAUGAAUAUAGUAUAAUAUAUUAUUUAUAUCAAUCUGGAUAUUAAAAGAAAACCUAACAAAUCCAAAAGCUCAUCAUCCUAUUUUCUCCUCUGCAAUCCAAUUUCUCUCACAUCUUAUAUAAUCAAUUCAACAAUAUCACAUUCAAUUUCAGUUAGUAACUCAAUUCAAAUCAGAUCAAAUUUGUCACCAUGCCAAUUCACAGAUUUAUACUUUUCAUCAGUUUCACAGUUUGGGCAUCCAAUAAAAUUAAAAAUUGCAGGGCAGCUUCACAAACACAUCAGUUCAACAUUCAACAUGCAGUUAUUUUAUAAAAUAAGUUCCUAAAAAAAAAUAAUCAACUCCCCUUACCUGGAAAGCUUGACAGUACCACUUGUUACGAGUGCCUUAAGACUGUACCCACCCAACGGAGCACAACAACACCCUACAACUCACCAAAGAGGCGAUGGAAAACAGCUCUUAGAGUUAGAAUAUAAUAGAAAUCAGAAAAGGGGAGGUUCUAAUUGCAUGAGAUCAGUAAAACCCAAGCCCUAGGUUUCGAAAAUAACGGAGGAAACAGAAGAAGCACUUACCGGAAGGAGACGAAGAAAGUAAUCGGUUCAGAAUGAAGCCCUCUACAUUAGGAGUGUUUAGGUACCUUCUUUACCAAAAGAUUGGACGGAUCAACAAAGUGAUAUUUAGAGAGAAGACAGAGAAAUAUUUAGGAUAAGGGUUUUUAGAGAGAGAGAGUGGAAAAUUAGCAAUUGAAGAAUCUGACUUUGGAGAAAAAAAUCUCUUCUAAGGUCAUGUGCCCUUAGUUUGAUGGGCUUGACUGCCUCUAACUAGGGCCCAAUGACCCUUUCUU